AACCUGCCCUUCAGAGGGGGACAACAGUUGGAAACGACUGCUAAUACCGCAUACGAUCUAACCUCGGCAUCGAGGAUAGAUGAAAGGUGGCCUCUAUUUAUAAGCUAUCACUGAAGGAGGGGAUUGCGUCUGAUUAGCUAGUUGGAGGGGUAACGGCCCACCAAGGCGAUGAUCAGUAGCCGGUCUGAGAGGAUGAACGGCCACAUUGGGACUGAGACACGGCCCAGACUCCUACGGGAGGCAGCAUG
rnacentral:rRNA from 1 species